rnacentral:rRNA from 1 species
GAUGAACGCUGGCGGCGUGCCUAAUACAUGCAAGUCGAGCGAACGGACGAGAAGCUUGCUUCUCUGAUGUUAGCGGCGGACGGGUGAGUAACACGUGGAUAACCUACCUAUAAGACUGGGAUAACUUCGGGAAACCGGAGCUAAUACCGGAUAAUAUUUUGAACCGCAUGGUUCAAAAGUGAAAGACGGUCUUGCUGUCACUUAUAGAUGGAUCCGCGCUGCAUUAGCUAGUUGGUAAGGUAACGGCUUACCAAGGCAACGAUGCAUAGCCGACCUGAGAGGGUGAUCGGCCACACUGGAACUGAGACACGGUCCAGACUCCUACGGGAGGCAGCAGUAGGGAAUCUUCCGCAAUGGGCGAAAGCCUGACGGAGCAACGCCGCGUGAGUGAUGAAGGUCUUCGGAUCGUAAAACUCUGUUAUUAGGGAAGAACAUAUGUGUAAGUAACUGUGCACAUCUUGACGGUACCUAAUCAGAAAGCCACGGCUAACUACGUGCCAGCAGCCGCGGUAAUACGUAGGUGGCAAGCGUUAUCCGGAAUUAUUGGGCGUAAAGCGCGCGUAGGCGGUUUUUUAAGUCUGAUGUGAAAGCCCACGGCCCAACCGUGGAGGGUCAUUGGAAACUGGAAAACUUGAGUGCAGAAGAGGAAAGUGGAAUUCCAUGUGUAGCGGUGAAAUGCGCAGAGAUAUGGAGGAACACCAGUGGCGAAGGCGACUUUCUGGUCUGUAACUGACGCUGAUGUGCGAAAGCGUGGGGAUCAAACAGGAUUAGAUACCCUGGUAGUCCACGCCGUAAACGAUGAGUGCUAAGUGUUAGGGGGUUUCCGCCCCUUAGUGCUGCAGCUAACGCAUUAAGCACUCCGCCUGGGGAGUACGACCGCAAGGUUGAAACUCAAAGGAAUUGACGGGGACCCGCACAAGCGGUGGAGCAUGUGGUUUAAUUCGAAGCAACGCGAAGAACCUUACCAAAUCUUGACAUCCUUUGACAACUCUAGAGAUAGAGCCUUCCCCUUCGGGGGACAAAGUGACAGGUGGUGCAUGGUUGUCGUCAGCUCGUGUCGUGAGGUGUUGGGUUAAGUCCCGCAACGAGCGCAACCCUUAAGCUUAGUUGCCAUCAUUAAGUUGGGCACUCUAAGUUGACUGCCGGUGACAAACCGGAGGAAGGUGGGGAUGACGUCAAAUCAUCAUGCCCCUUAUGAUUUGGGCUACACACGUGCUACAAUGGACAAUACAAAGGGCAGCGAAACCGCGAGGUCAAGCAAAUCCCAUAAAGUUGUUCUCAGUUCGGAUUGUAGUCUGCAACUCGACUACAUGAAGCUGGAAUCGCUAGUAAUCGUAGAUCAGCAUGCUACGGUGAAUACGUUCCCGGGUCU